CCUACGGGAGGCAGCAGUGAGGAAUAUUGGUCAAUGGGCGCGAGCCUGAACCAGCCAAGUAGCGUGAAGGAUGACUGCCCUACGGGUUGUAAACUUCUUUUAUAAAGGAAUAAAGUGAGGCACGUGUGCCUUUUUGUAUGUAUUUUAUGAAUAAGGAUCGGCUUACUCCGUGCCAGCCGCCGCGGUAAUACGGAGGAUCCGAGCGUUAUCCGGUAUUUUUGGGUUUAAAGGGAGCGUAGAUGGGUUGUUAAGUCAGUUGUGUAAUUUUGCGGAUCAACCGUAAAAUUGCAAUGGAUACUGGCAGCCUUGAGUACAGUUGAGGUAGGCGGAAUUCGUGGUGUAGCGGUGAAAUGCUUAGAUAUCACGAAGAACUCCGAUUGCGAAGGCAGCCUACUAAACUGCCACUGACAUUGAUGCUCGAAAGUGUGGGUAUCAAACAGGAUUAGAUACCCUAGUAGUC
rnacentral:rRNA from 1 species